rnacentral:rRNA from 1 species
AUGGCUCAAUCAGGCAACACCUUAGUCAGGCCAAACUGGUAUUUAUACAUGGAUAAAUCAAGCAAUACCUUACUCAGGUGGAACAUAUACAGAAAGUUGAGCAGAGUCAUGGUAGGAUAUGUUGCCUAUGUUCAGUUCGAAUUCUCUUCUUUAGACAUAUGUGUGACACAAAAAAUGAAACAAAAACAAAUGAAAAUGGACACCGUGGUACACACCCAGGCUAAAGUUUUCCCAAUUCACAUACACAGCUCUCGGAUCAGCUACCCAAAAUGGCACCAAAGCAGCUCACACGCUGAAGAAUCGGCAGCUCGGCGUAGCUCUGGGGAGCAGGCAAUGGCGUGGUAA